rnacentral:rRNA from 1 species
GUUGAACGCUGGCGGCAUGCUUUACACAUGCAAGUCGAACGGUAACAGGGUGCUUGCACCGCUGACGAGUGGCGAACGGGUGAGUAAUGCGUCGGAACGUGCCGAGUAGUGGGGGAUAACGCAGCGAAAGUUGUGCUAAUACCGCAUACGUACUGAGGUAGAAAGUGGGGGACCUUCGGGCCUCACGCUAUUCGAGCGGCCGACGUCUGAUUAGCUAGUAGGUGAGGUAAAGGCUCACCUAGGCGACGAUCAGUAGCGGGUCUGAGAGGAUGAUCCGCCACACUGGGACUGAGACACGGCCCAGACUCCUACGGGAGGCAGCAGUGGGAAUUUUGGACAAUGGGCGAAAGCCUGAUCCAGCCAUGCCACGUGUCUGAAGAAGGCCUUCGGGUUGUAAAGGACUUUUGUCAGGGAGGAAAUCCCUAGUGCUAAUAACACUGGGGGAUGACAGCACCUGAAGAAUAAGCACCGGCUAACUACGUGCCAGCAGCCGCCGUAA